AUUUCUUCACAGAGGGAGUUACACCGCGAGAUCUGAUUGACAACCAUGGGAGAACCGUGUGAUGUUCGCCUUAAAUAUUCUCAGAGCCAUGUUACUUUGAUAAGAGUGAUAUACAACUCUGUUAACACCUGCUGGAAAACUGAGGUCUAUUGCAGACUUGAAGCCAACUGCCCCUAUAAUUGAAGGUGGAUUUUCUCAUUGUUAACCACAUCCAAUUGCUAACCAGGUCCAACCAGAGACCCCAUCAGGGGAGUUGGGCCACAGUCAGAGGCUGAUGGGACCUUAACCAUUAGCCACUCUUCCUGGGACUUUCUGGAUUGCUUCAUCCUUGAAGGCCCAGUUCAAGUCCUGUCAAGUCCUGCUGUGAAAUCUACCAUUCAUUCAUUCCUUCAUUCAGCCAGCAGAGAGUGCCAACUCUGUGAACAGUCGUGAGGACAAUUAAAGGGCGGCAUUUCCCCCCUGAGAGCUGCCAUAGAACCACGUGACUUCGUUUUGGAAGCCACCACAUGUUCAAGUAAUGCAGUGCAGAAGUAAGAAGUAAAAGAGAGGUCCUGCCCACAUAGCGAGAGCCCAGGUGGCCUCCAGCCUCCUGCGGCUUCCCAGGUGCCGGGAGGUAUAUUGGUGGGCAGGGCCGGGUGCAGUGAGCCUGAAUGCCAUCUCCUUUGUUGAGCCCUUUGGGACAGGACAAGCCAUUAGGCCUAAACUCAGGCUUCAGUCCUCUGGGGAGCUGGGGGCUGAGCUAAGGGGCUUUUCUAAGCUCUCCUGCUCUGCCUACUCUCAGGGGUGGGCAUUGGCCCAGUGUCCCAGUCUGAGAACCUCUACAAGGAAUGUUCCUACUGCUCCUAAAAUAUUUUCCCACCUAUCUGCCUCCCCGCCUGACAUCGCCUAUAAAAGAGGUUCAUUCCUUUAGGUUAAGCCAUGUCCUUCCUGGAAGUUCUUUGCAAUGACACAAGUUUCUCUGGCUGGGCAGCCAGCAUCCUUCAUUGUUCAGUGAACACUUAGUAUGUGCCCAGCAUGAGCAUAAGCGCUGGGGACAUAGCAGGAGCCAAAGUUCCUUCCUGCUUUCCCGGGACUUACGUUUCGGAAGGGAAGACAGACCGAAAACUCAUAUACAGUCAGUUAGGGAUGUCGGGUUGUUGAGAAACAUAAAGCAGGGUGAUGGGGAAGCGUGCUAUUGUAGGGUGGGAAGGGAAGGCCUCUCUCACAGUUCAAAUCUUCCAGCACAACUGGAGCUCACCCUGAUCUCUCUCUGCCUGGGGCUUUAGAAGCACUUCAGAUUGUCUCGAAAAGUUAACUCAAUUGUUUCUGCUGUGAUCGCGUACUUUGUCUCCAUCUUGCUGUGUCCUGUUUCAUGUAUGUGUCUCUUGCCCGCCCCUUCUGUCCUAAGCCCUUUCACUUUAUUAUUUAUUGUCUUGUCUCUGGACGCUGGAACAGAGACCUGGAGAAGCUGAGCCCCUGAGUAAGGGUUGCCCAUCUGAGUGAGGGUUCCAGGCAGAAGAAAUAGCAAGUGUUAAGCCCCCACAGCAGUGGACGCUGGCAUCUUGGGAACAGCCAAGAGGCCAGAAGGCUGGGUGCAGAGAUGACGAGGGGCAGGGGUAGGGGCUGAGGCUAGAUUGUGGGGCCAAGCAGGCUCUGCAAAGGGCCUUUGGGUGUACUCUGUGCGGCACAGGAAGCCAUGGGAAGACCCUGAGCAGAAGAGGGACAUGCAAUGAUGCCAUCGAGACACUCAUUAGCAUGACCACCUUGGGUGUCCCAUGAAUCUAGGCUAGAGACAAGGGCGGCAGGGCCUGGGGACGCCAAGGGCAAUGCAGGCCAAUGAAGGAACUGAGACUUUCUCAUGAUGUCAGUAGGGAUCCAUGGAGGGUUUUAGAGUAAGGGAGUUUCACCCUUCAUCUGGGAGUAGAGGGUGCUAGACACAGGGAAGUGAGGUCACCUUCUCAGAACGUAUUGCUGGAUAAAGAUGGAACUGAGGUGAAAAGCCAACUCUUCAGAUUUCAAUUCCAUUAAAGUGUGAGGUUUUUCCUAAAUAAGGAGAGGAAACAUUUAUCGAGCAUGUGCUAAGUGCCACACCCUGCUCAGGUGCCAAGCCAUUUAAUUUUCAAAACAACCCUAAGAGGUGGACACUAUUAUUAUUCCCAUCUUACAGACAAGAAAAUGAGGCACAGGGGGGUUAUGUAACUUGUCUGAGGUUGCCCAGCUAAUAAGCAGUAGAGCUGGGAUUUGAACCCAGGUAGCCCGGAUCCAGAGUUCAGGCAGUUAGUCAGUGUGUUACAGGGCCUUGCUAGAGCUUUUGGAAACGUGAGAAUGUGAAGAUGGGGUGGUGGGAACCAGGACGGACCAGUUAACAUGUUGUUGCUAGGGCUGAGCCAGCCCCAGUCUUGUUUGGACUCAGGCCCCGCACUUUCGCGUUAAGUCCCAUCAAUAGUUAGCGGAGGAAGCAGUUGCGAAACUUGGUAUUGGCUGUUGCUAAGUCGUUCUAGAUCCGAUGGGGGCCACACCACUGUUCCAGAGGCCGGAAAGGGCUCUGCUCAGAGGCUUUAUAAAAAGACAUUUCCUUAAUUACUUCAACCCUUGCUGUCCUGUGCUUUUCUCUUGGCUCCUGUUGGCCCUUCCACGUGUAUUUCCUGAAUCCAGGGCUGGCCGUACAUGUAGGGAGAUAGUAGGGAUAGUGUGACGGGGCUCUCAGAGACUUCCUCUUCCCAGCCCACCCAGACCUCUGACCUUUCUUCUGGAUGGAGGCCCCUCAAACAGCUCAACCCAACUGUACGUGAGAACUAUCUAGAGAGUUCAUAGAAAGUCCUAAUGGCUAGGUCCUACCCCACACCAGAUGGAUCCGAGUCUCUGGAGUUGGCCUCAAAGGGUAAGUUACAAAAAGCUUGAUUCUAAUGUGCAGCUCAGUUGAGAACCACUGGCCUAGACCAAUCCCCCUUAUUACGUAUAGAGAAAUUGUCUUGUCCACAGUCAUGUGGCCAUCAGUGGCAGAAUGGGAAAGAAAAUCCAGGUCUUUGACUCUUAGAACAACAGCUUUGUCCAAAAGAAACAUAGUUGGAAAAGGCAAGUCACCCCAGGAGAGGCACUCGAACAUCAGUGCCCGUGGAUUUUUGGAUGGUGGAAGGUGAGUUAUGAG